CCCUUAGAUGUUCUGGGCGGCCCGCGCACUACAUUGGCACUCUCAAUAAGUUCCUAGAUCUAAAACUUUGGGGUAUUCUAUUAAGUGGUGUCGUGACUGGGAUUAACCCUUGCAAUUAUUGGUUACGAACGAGGAAUUCCUUGUAAUCGCGGUUUAUCGGCCCGCGUUGAAUGCGUCCCUGCCCUUUGUACACACCGCCCGUCGCUCCUACCGAUGAAUCGUCCGGUGAAGUUCAUGGAGUGGUGGUUGUUCCAGCUGCUGUCGAAGUGAAAUGGACCUCACGAUUUAGAGGAAGGAGAAGUCGUAACA
rnacentral:rRNA from 1 species